rnacentral:rRNA from 1 species
CCGGAGGUCAUUGCUAGUGGAGUCCGAUUUAGCCAUGCUAGUUGCACGGGUUUGGACCCGUAGCAGAUAGCUCAGUAACACGUGGCCAAACUACCCUCUGGAUCGGGAUAACCUCGGGAAACUGAGGCUAAUCCUGAAUAGCGUUCUCACCCUGGAGUGGGGAGAACGUGAAAUGCUCCGGCGCCAGAGGAUGUGGCUGCGGCCGAUUAGGUAGACGGUGGGGUAACGGCCCACCGUGCCAGUAAUCGGUACGGGUUGUGAGAGCAAGAGCCCGGAGACGGUAUCUGAGACAAGAUACCGGGCCCUACGGGGCGCAGCAGGCGCGAAACCUUUACACUGCACGCCAGUGCGAUAAGGGGACUCCAUCUGCGAGGGCAUAUCGUCCUCGCUUUUCUGUACCGUAAGGUGGUACAGGAAUAAGGGCUGGGCAAGACCGGUGCCAGCCGCCGCGGUAAUACCGGCAGCCCGAGUGAUGACCGCUAUUAUUGGGCCUAAAGCGUCCGUAGCUGGCCAGGCAAGUCCAUCGGGAAAUCCGCGUGCCCAACACGCGGGCGUCCGGUGGAACCUGCUUGGCUUGGGACCGGAAGACCUGAGGGGUACGUCCGGGGUAGGAGUGAAAUCCCGUAAUCCUGGACGGACCACCGGUGGCGAAAGCGCCUCAGGAAGACGGAUCCGACGGUGAGGGACGAAAGCUCGGGUCACGAACCGGAUUAGAUACCCGGGUAGUCCGAGCUGUAAACGAUGUCUGCUAGGUGUGGCACAGGCUACGAGCCUGUGCUGUGCCGUAGGGAAGCCGUGAAGCAGACCGCCUGGGAAGUACGUCCGCAAGGAUGAAACUUAAAGGAAUUGGCGGGGGAGCACUACAACCGGAGGAGCCUGCGGUUUAAUUGGAUCCAA